UUAAGUCAGGCAACAAGCGAGACCUGUACCUAUAAUUGCCAGCAGCAUUUUUAGAUGGACUGGGCACAUUAUAGGGACUGCCUUGGAAACAAGGAGGAAGGUGCAGGCAACGGUAGGUCUGUAUGCCCCGAAUCCUCUGGGCUACACGCGCGCAACAAUGGUAUGGACAAUGGGAUGCAACUCCGUAAGGAGAAGCUAAACCUCUAAACCAUAUCCCAGUCCAGAUUGUGGGUUGUAACUCACCCACAUGACGUUGGAAUCCCUAGUAACCAGGUGUUAGCAUCGCCCGGUGAAUAUGUCCCUGCUCCUUGCACA
rnacentral:rRNA from 1 species